rnacentral:misc_RNA from 1 species
GAUGAAGAACGUAGUGAAAUGCGACAAGUAAUGUGAAUUGCAGAAUUCCGUGAAUCAUCGAAUCUUUGAACGCACAUUGCGCCUUCUGGUAUUCCGGAAGGCAUGCCUGUUCGAGAGUCAUUAACAACCGUUUCGAUCCCUUUCUUUCAGAAAUUACAAAGAGGAAAAGGGUUUGGUUAUGGUGGAGGAGGGAAAGGGAGCGUUUAGCCUGUAAAAAAAGAGGCUGUGUUCCGCCUCCCCCCCAAAAUUGUACAGGCGGUCGUGUGCGCCCACGCAUCGAGGUGUUGUAAAAGCUGCCACGGCACUUUUCACCUGUGCAGUGCGAGAUUGGCCAGCCGGUUUAAAAACCCCUCCAAACAAUCAAAGGUUGACCUCGGAUCAGGUAGGGAUACCCGCUGAACUUAAGCAUAUCAAUAAGCGGAGGA